AGCAACAGAGCUUCGGUUGUGUCUCCUAAGAAUUGCUCAUUGUUUCAUGGGGACGACUGGCUCCUUUGGGUGGGAUCUGAUGGCAUCUCAUGGAGUUGGAGGCCAAGGAACAGAAAGCAUGAGUUCUGCUUGUGGUUAUAGGUCAUGUGAUACUUUGGUUGCUUUGCAACCUUCAAGGAACUUUGACACAAAAAUGAUCUUACUGGAUUCUCAGAUGACUCCAUGAUACAGGUACCAUGACCAAACCCAUGUCUUCCAUCUACAAGUCAAAUAUUUAAUGAUAUUAUUUCUUAAUAAUAUGAUGAACGUCAUCAGUAAGCUAUUUUUCAUACCAAGACAGAAUAUCAUAAUUUAGGGAAGAGAGAAGCCUGAAUUCUAAUAGGAAGCACUUCUCCUCACUUGGUAAUUUCUAAACCCAAUGGCAUUUUAAAAAGAAGUCAGAUCUAUCAGUUAACAGAACAAAAAUAAGGAAAAGAAGAAAUGUCACUCCAGAGCUCUAUUAAUCCAGUUGUCCUAGUGAAGAUUUACUGUAGGUCUAGAACGACUGGCUUAUAAACAUCAAGUCAGGUGUUGUCAGCAGCCUGAAGUAUGAAGGAAGCUCUUCUAUAAAGAAAGAGGAGGAGAUUCUUGAUCCAGAGAAACCUAUGAAGACAGCCAAGAUAAAUCUCUGUUUCCUUCUAGGCCCAGAGUUUGACUGUGUUUUCUAUUCUCCCACCCAGGUAAAUUGAAUUGCAUUCUACUCACCAGAUGCAUAAGCCUCCUAAAAGCCUGGUUCUGGUGCCUCCACACACACUCCCAUCAAUGGUUAUGUGCAGUGAUUUCAGAGCGCUAGGAGAUUAUAGUGUUUUGUGAAGGAUCAGCAAAUUUUUCUUCAAGAGGUUAGAUGAUACAUACUUUAGAUUUAAUCGAUGACAUAGUUCUCAGUUCUCUCCCUCCUCAUUCUUCUUGUCUUCCUCUUUUUUUCUUCUUCUCCUCUUUCUCUUCCUUUUUAAAAUGAAAAAAAGAAAGGCUUAGUUUUCAGCAUUGUACUGUGUUUGGCCUUUUGACCAUAGCUCUCCGAUCCUUACACUAGAGAAAGAUCUUGAGCUUCAGAAUACUGAUGUAAAGCAAAAUCCCUCUCUCACUUUUCUUUUUAUUCCAACUCCCAGUCCUUGCAACUGAUUUACUUUGGCUAUGAUGAAAGUGAUCUUUUUUUUUUAUUAUGUUUCCUCUGAACUAUAGAUGUGGGACCUUCUGUGGUUCCAACUGCAGAAGCAAACAACUAGGGUGAGUUUGAAGCAAGCAGAGUUCUAAUGUGAAGAAUUUGGGAUUCAUCCACCCCAAUUAGUCCUCUUCACUGCAAGGUUGCUUGAGCCACAUAUGUCUCAUUUAUGACUACUUUGUUUGGUUCAUGCCUAGGGAACCAUCAUGAUUAAAUCCAUCUGCCUUCUCCAGAGCAGUCUGAUUUAGAACCAUAGUUUAAAAAUCCAACUGCAGAUAUUAUCAAGGUCUGAGAGAAUCCAGAGGCGACCGUGGAGUGAAUGACAAAGGAAGAGGAAAUGUGUUUCACUACACAAACAUGAUCUGCAAAGCGUCUGAAACUUGAGGAGAGAGAAACACACAUAAAGAACACUAUAUGAAAAACAGACACCUGGAGAAGCUGUCCAUGUACAAAGGAGGCAGCGAUUUGAGUCUUAUUGCCACAAGCUAAGGCAUGCCUGGGGCUAUAAAAAGCUUGAAGAGGCAUAAAAGGAUCCUUUCCCCCAAAGCUUCCACAGAGCAAGGCCCUGUCACCACCUCAAUUCGCUUUUCAAAUCCUGAGUGCUGACAUUCCGCUCUUGAAUCAGCCACCCAA